UGCAAGUCGAGCGGUAGCACAGAGAGCUUGCUCUCGGGUGACGAGCGGCGGACGGGUGAGUAAUGUCUGGGAAACUGCCUGAUGGAGGGGGAUAACUACUGGAAACGGUAGCUAAUACCGCAUAAUGUCGCAAGACCAAAGUGGGGGACCUUCGGGCCUCAUGCCAUCAGAUGUGCCCAGAUGGGAUUAGCUAGUAGGUGGGGUAAUGGCUCACCUAGGCGACGAUCCCUAGCUGGUCUGAGAGGAUGACCAGCCACACUGGAACUGAGACACGGUCCAGACUCCUACGGGAGGCAGCAGUGGGGAAUAUUGCACAAUGGGCGCAAGCCUGAUGCAGCCAUGCCGCGUGUAUGAAGAAGGCCUUCGGGUUGUAAAGUACUUUCAGCGAGGAGGAAGGCAUUAAGGUUAAUAACCUUAGUGAUUGACGUUACUCGCAGAAGAAGCACCGGCUAACUCCGUGCCAGC
rnacentral:rRNA from 1 species